rnacentral:rRNA from 4 species
UGUUUCGGCUAGGGGGCCAUCCCGGCUUACCAACCCGAUGCAAACUGCGAAUACCGGAGAAUGUUAUCACGGGAGACACACGGCGGGUGCUAACGUCCGUCGUGAAGAGGGAAACAACCCAGACCGCCAGCUAAGGUCCCAAAGUCAUGGUUAAGUGGGAAACGAUGUGGGAAGGCCCAGACAGCCAGGAUGUUGGCUUAGAAGCAGCCAUCAUUUAAAGAAAGCGUAAUAGCUCACUGGUCGAGUCGGCCUGCGCGGAAGAUGUAACGGGGCUAAACCAUGCACCGAAGCUGCGGCAGCGACACUCAGGUGUUGUUGGGUAGGGGAGCG